rnacentral:rRNA from 1 species
UGGGGAAUAUUGGACAAUGGGCGAAAGCCUGAUCCAGCCAUGCCGCGUGUGUGAAGAAGGUCUUCGGAUUGUAAAGCACUUUAAGUUGGGAGGAAGGGCAGUAAGUUAAUACCUUGCUGUUUUGACGUUACCGACAGAAUAAGCACCGGCUAACUCUGUGCCAU